UACGGGGGGGGCAAGCGUUGUUCGGAAUUACUGGGCGUAAAGGGCUCGUAGGCGGCCAACUAAGUCGGACGUGAAAUCCCUCGGCUUAACCGGGGAACUGCGUCCGAUACUGGAUGGCUUGAGUUUGGGAGAGGGAUGCGGAAUUCCAGGUGUAGCGGUGAAAUGGCGUAGAUAUCUGGAGGAACACCGGUGGCGAAGGCGGCAUCCUGGACCAACACUGACGCUGAGGAGCGAAAGCCAGGGGAGCAAACAGGAUUAAGCAAACC
rnacentral:rRNA from 1 species